UGGGGUAUGGCCAAAUGGUAAGGCAUCUGGUUUUGGUCCAGUGUAUUGGGGGUUCGAGUCCCUCUACCCCAUCCA
rnacentral:tRNA from 1 species